rnacentral:rRNA from 1 species
AGUGAACGCUGGCGGCAGGCCUAAUACAUGCAAGUCGAACGGCAGCACAGUGGAGCUUGCUCCAUGGGUGGCGAGUGGCGGACGGGUGAGGAAUACAUGGGAAUCUGCCCAGUCGUGGGGGAUAACGUAGGGAAACUUACGCUAAUACCGCAUGCGCCCUUCGGGGGAAAGCCGGGGACCUUCGGGCCUGGCGCGAUUGGAUGAGCCCAUGUUCGAUUAGCUAGUUGGCGGGGUAAAGGCCCACCAAGGCGACGAUCGAUAGCUGGUCUGAGAGGAUGAUCAGCCACACUGGGACUGAGACACGGCCCAGACUCCUACGGGAGGCAGCAGUAGGGAAUAUUGGACAAUGGGCGCAAGCCUGAUCUAGCCAUGCCGCGUGAGUGAAGAAGGCCCUCGGGUUGUAAAGCUCUUUUGUCCGGGAAGAAAAGCAUCGGGCUAAUACCUCGGUGUUCUGACGGUACCGGAAGAAUAAGCACCGGCUAACUUCGUG